GCACGACUCGACGAGGGAUUAUUUGAUUCGCGAGACUGGUAAUGGUAAUUAGAGGGUUUAUGCUUCGAUCAUAUUUAUUAUUUUGCGAUAGAAUUUUUCGGGAAAAUUUGUCUUCAAGAAUAAAUUCGUUUCAAUCGAAAUUUCAGAUUCUUUUGCAGAAGCCCCAGGAUAUCUUAUAGAUCUGAUGCACGAUAAGAAUCCAGCGAUACGUAAAGUUUGUGAUGCUUGUUUGGAUGUGAUCGCCAUGUGCGAUAAAGACUGGGCUGCUCGUAUCAAAGUCGAAAAGUUUCGUUCCUACAAUCAACAAUGGCUUGAAAUGGUCGAAUCGAUUACAGUUGAUAAUGUCAGUCAUUUUGGUGGUAGACGAGGAUGACAGUUUGCCACCUUUUAUAAGCGGCGAAUAGCUAAGGCAUACGAUGCUUUUUCCCUCAGGUAAUUCGACAGUUUUCAACACCGACGACGGUGAGUUGAACGUGAAGAAUUCAUCGGAUUCUUCAGAAAAUCCCUG